rnacentral:rRNA from 1 species
UACGUAGGCAGCGAGCGUUGUUCGGAGUUACUGGGCGUAAAGCGUGCGUAGGCGGUGGUCCAAGUCUGGUGUGAAAUCUCCCGGCUUAACUGGGAGGGUGCGCCGGAACUGGGCCGCUGGAGUACGGGAGAGGCAAGCGGAAUUCCAGGUGUAGCGGUGAAAUGCGUAGAUAUCUGGAGGAACACCCGUGGUGCAGACGGCUUGCUGGACCGUGACUGACGCUGAGGCACGAAAGCGUGGGUAGCAAACAGG